GGGGUUGUACUGGUUUCGACGGGGGUCUCGAAGUUCUGGGAGCCAUCCGCAGACCGUGGCUGCGUAAAAAAACGGAUCUAAACAUAAACGCAGAAAAUAAUUACGCGUUAGCGGCUUAAUGCCGCUUGCCGACCCGGAGUCUCCUGCCGCCCCGGCAAUCGGCAUCAUGAAGGGCGGGGCACUUUUUCUCUUAAGCUUUGCGGAGAAAAAAGAACCUAUGAAGCUACUGAAGUCCCGAGCCUGUCUGCGGGCGCCUGACAGAGGGAAUGAAAAAACACAGACUAUGAUGGUAGGGCCCGGGAGGGACAGGCUUUCGGACAGGGGUUCGAUUCCCCUCAGCUCCAGCU
rnacentral:tmRNA from 1 species